AUUGAACGCUGGCGGAAUGCUUUACACAUGCAAGUCGAACGGCAGCACGGACUUCGGUCUGGUGGCGAGUGGCGAACGGGUGAGUAAUAUAUCGGAACGUAUCCAAUAAUGGGGGAUAACUAAUCGAAAGGUUGGCUAAUACCGCAUACGCCCUACGGGGGAAAGCUAGGGAUCUUCGGACCUGGCGUUAAUGGAGCGGCCGAUAUCUGAUUAGCUAGUUGGUGGGGUAAAGGCCCACCAAGGCGACGAUCAGUAGCUGGUCUGAGAGGACGACCAGCCACACUGGAACUGAGACACGGUCCAGACUCCUACGGGAGGCAGCAGUGGGGAAUUUUGGACAAUGGGCGCAAGCCUGAUCCAGCCAUUCCGCGUGAGUGAAGAAGGCCUUCGGGUUGUAAAGCUCUUUCGCAAGGGAAGAAAACUUAUCCU
rnacentral:rRNA from 1 species